rnacentral:rRNA from 1 species
CCUACGGGUGACAGCAGUGAGGAAUAUUGGUCAAUGGCCGGAAGGCUGAACCAGCCAUGCCGCGUGAAGGUCAGUGCCCUAUGGGCGUUAAACUUCUUUUGUGCGGGAGCAAUAAUGCUCACGUGUGGCCAGCCGAGAGUACCGUCCGAAUAAGCAUCGGCUCACUCCGCGCCAGCAGCCGCGGUAAUACGGAGGAUGCGAGCGUUAUCCGGAUUUAUUGGGUUUAAAGGGUGCGUAGGCGGUUUUUUACGUUAGUGGUUAAAUGUCGGGGCUUCACCUUGAUUUGCCAUUAAUACUGUAAGACUCGAGUGCAGACGAGGUAGGCGGAAUAAGUUAAGUAGCGGUGAAAUGCUUAGAUAUAACUUAGAACUCCGAUAGCGAAGGCAGCUUACCAGACUGCGACUGACGCUGAAGAACGAGAGCGUGGGUAGCGAACAGGAUUAGAUACCCGGGUAGUC